rnacentral:rRNA from 1 species
ACACGUAGGGGGCGAGCGUUGUCCGGAUUUAUUGGGCGUAAAGGGCUCGUAGGCGGCUUGACAAGUCGAUCGUGAAAACCCGGGGCUCAACCCCGGGACGCCGGUCGAAACUGUCAUGGCUAGGGUCCGGUAGAGGUGAGUGGAAUUCUCGGUGUAGCGGUGAAAUGCGCAGAUAUCGAGAGGAACACCAGUAGCGAAGGCGGCUCACUGGGCCGGUACCGACGCUGAUGAGCGAAAGCGUGGGGAGCAAACAGGAUUAGAAACCCCAGUAGUCC